GACGAACGCUGGCGGCGUGCUUAACACAUGCAAGUCGAACGGAAAGGCCCGGCUUUUGUGGGGUGCUCGAGUGGCGAACGGGUGAGUAACACGUGAGUAACCUGCCCUUGACGUUGGGAUAACUUCAGUAAACUGGGGCUAAUACCGGAUAGGAGCUCCUGCUGCAUGGUGGGGGUUGGAAAGUGUCGGCGGUUGGGGAUGUACUCGCGGCUUAUCAGCUUGUUGGUGGGGUAGUGGCUUACCAAGGCUUUGACGGGUAGCCGGCCUGAGAGGGUGACCGGCCACAUUGGGACUGAGAUACGGCCCAGACUCCUACGGGAGGCAGCAGUGGGGAAUAUUGCACAAUGGGCGGAAGCCUGAUGCAGCAACGCCGCGUGCGGGAUGACGGCCUUCGGGUUGUAAACCGCUUUCGCCUGUGACGAAGCGUGAGUGACGGUAAUGGGUAAAGAAGCACCGGCUAACUACGUG
rnacentral:rRNA from 1 species